AAAACGGGACUUUCUGUUUGAGACAAAAAUAAAAAAGUUGAGAAUCUGUCAGAACACCGAGCGACCACCCCGAAAGUGCGAACACUGCCGAGAACGAUCAUCUACAGCUUAGAAUGAUAACUCAAACUGAGGAUCAUCAAGGCCGUUAAUCACGCUCUGAUCGCACGGUAAUGCUUCAUCCACCAGAUUUAAGUUCCUGUCUCCUUAGAAAUCAAGGACACAGUAGUACGAGCCUAUAGAACAGAUCCUGUUCAAGUAAGGUCGUGACGUUUGGUCUUCUUCUCGCUUAUAUAAACCGUAGAUUUUCUAUGAGCUUUAGCGGUGUGGGACUAAAGUCUUCAUUUUUUUUCUUUUCUAAUGUGAGUCUUGCUUUCAGAUUUGGAUUCAAGCUUUACUAUAACUAAGUUCUUUCUUUAUGCGAGUGAGUGAUUUUCCGUAGUGAAAGUUUCUUCUGUUUUAGAGGAGAAGAAACUCGCAACAAAUUCACCCAUCACCACCACUGGUACACAGCAGCCUUUUAAGGAAGGAAGCUACUUAUCAGUUUUCAAAGGAAGUUAUUGCGCCGACUACGCUUUCUUCAGCACUUGUUUUCUUCCCUGAAUACAUUCUUCCUCGCGGUGGUGCUUCGAUGAGCUACUUACCAUCCUCCAAUCUCUAAUUCAAUGCUGUCGUUAUGUUUUCCCAGUCUUCUACAACCACCAACAAGGGUCUUUUUGCUAAGCAUUGUGAAAUGUUCGGAGAUGCAGUGAAAAUGUGAGUAAUUAGCAUAGUGAAAAAAUCAGUUUUGUGUAUUUUAACCACCCACUUAUGCGUUGUGCAUCAAAUACCACCACACUGAUUUGUUUAUCAAAAGUUGGUAUUCCUUUGUGAAUUGCUCGCUUCACACUGUCCUUGUCAUGUCAGCAGCCAUUGCUUUUAGUACUCUCUUGUUUUUAGUACACUGAGCCUCUAAGGUACCAUGGGUUGCAAAACCAUAUUGUUGAUAAACCAGUCGAUAUGAACUUCACCAUUACUUUACUUUACUUGGGUAGAAUCAACCAAUUAGGCUCCGACGGUGGUCACACACUUUUCAUAUGUCCCAGCCACAUGGCCACUCUCAUUACGGAUCUUGGAAUAACGGUUUUGGUGAGGACCAAGGCAGUCCAGAGGAGGUAGCUUAGAGGACACAUAACAUAUAUACCAUGGAAUUUGGCAGGGUAACAAUUGUUCUGCACUAUCCUGCGGCAACCGUGAGAAACACCAAAAGAAUGUUGUGUUCAACCAGAAAGUAGUGGAUCCCAUUGAGGUUGUCAAAACAAGUUCAGAAUCCAACCAUUGCAACCUAGUAAUGGCUACAAUGGCCACAGUUAUAAUGGCUCUUGUUCCCUACAAGAUCCAUUUUGUCCACGCGCCUUCGGGAACAUAUCUCAUAUUUUCUAAAAGGAAUUUACAGUUGCUGGACAUCUUGAGUUGAACAAUAUCAAUACUAGGAGCCUUUCAAGUCAUAUUAUUACGAAGUUAUUCAAAUGACUCCGCCUUCUUUUCGAUCUGAAGUCUCAAAGUGACCCUUCUUUGGAAACAUGUGAUAAGAGCAUUCCGAUUCAAUAACUCAAUUCUUUUCCGUAUCAACACUUCCAUAACCAUCUUUAUCCUAGGAAAGUCUAACAUUAAUAAUCACCAUUACUCUCUUUUUCGAGACAAUUCUUCUUUCAGUGGUCGAUUUUAUGACUAAUUAAGCAUUGGUACUUUGAUUUGUUGAAACCUUUGGAUUUGAACUUAGACACAGAUUUAUCCUCUUUUAGUUUUCGCUAUUGUCACUCAUUUCUCUUGAUGGAUGACUCAUCCCUUCCAACCUUCAAUAUUGGAGAUGUGGUUAGUAAAUUAGAAUUACUUGAGACUAUUCAAUUAUGUUGUAAACUAAGGUUUUGAUAUACUGAAAUUUGUAAUUAUAAUGUCGAAAUAUUAUUGCUUAAAUAGAGAGAAAGAUUUAUCUAA